GAUCAUGGCUCAGAUGAACGCUGGCGGCGUGCUUAACACGUGCAAGUCGCGCGUGAAAGGACUUCGGUCCGAGUAAAGCGGCGCACGGGUGAGUAACGCGUGGAUGAUCUACCCAUGAGUUAGGAAUAACGGCUGGAAACGGUCGCUAAUACCAAAUACGCUCCGAUUUCAACUUCGGGGGAAAGGUGGCCUCUGCUUGCAAGCUACUGCUCAUGGAUGAGUCCGCGUCCCAUUAGCUAGUUGGUGGGGUAACGGCCCACCAAGGCGACGAUGGGUAGCCGGUCUGAGAGGAUGACCGGCCACACUGGGACUGGAACACGGCCCAGACUCCUACGGGAGGCAGCAGUGGGGAAUAUUGCGCAAUGGGCGAAAGCCUGACGCAGCGACGCCGCGUGAGGGAUGAAGGUCCUCGGAUCGUAAACCUCUGUCAGGAGGGAAGAACCGCCACGGUGCUAAUCAGCCGUGGUCUGACGGUACCUCCAAAGGAAGCACCGGCUAACUCCGUGCCAGCCGCAGC
rnacentral:rRNA from 1 species